UGCGCCUGGCCCGGCGACUGCGGGCGCUGCGGUCCACUGGGUCCGCCUCUUCCCGGCAUGGGUUUCUGCCCAGCUCACCCGCUGUCAGCUGGGGUCCUGCUCUGGUGGGAGGAAGAGGCUCAGACGCUUCCCUGCCCUCUCGCCUCAACCACCUCGAGGCAGCGGCUCCCAGGAUGUGCACUUUGACGACUAAAGCUGAGCCGGCGCCGCCACGACCUUGGGCGGGUGGUCGGCCUCUGCCCUGAGCAGGAAGUAGAAAGUCUCAGCAGACCCUUCCUGAGGGCCGAGCAACAGUGUAGUGGCGUAUUCCACAUAGCAAACAGGGACCCUGGGAGCAUCUGUGUUCUCGUGUUCUUCUUGCCUGUGAGGCCUCUUCUCUCUGAGGACAGAUGGUAGGACAGAGAGAAGACAGCAAAUGGAAAACAAAGGCUGCUAUUUUUUUGUGGGGCAGCAUUUCUUCCUGUGACAAUAUGGUGUAAGACAAAAUUGUGGCCUGCCAUGAAGUUGUGAGAGAAAAGCAUCCCUCAUUUCUUCAGGAAAGGCCACUGCCGUUCCCUCCGGCUCCUCUUCUCAGGAGUUUGUGCAUUCAUGAGGUGAAUUCCUUGGAAGAUGAGGGCCAAGUCUUAUUCUUCUCAGUCUCUUCUGCAUCUAGCAGAAGAAUAAUGGUUGCACAGAAAAUCUUGGUUCAGUGGUUGAGUGAAUGAAUGGAUGAACAGGCUCUUGCACACAAAGAAGAGACAUGAUGUAUUUGCAUCCUUCCCUGCUUCAGCCAGUUUUCUGAAGCUCAGAGGGACACCUUGUAUUGCUGGAUGAUAAAAACAGGAGCAAAGUGAUGAAGUGCUGACAAGGCAACAAUAGAACAUGAGAGAUUCACUGCUGUGUAGGAAGAGAUCUUCGGUGACCAUGUAGCCUGAAGCUCUCAUUUUGUCAUCGAGGGACACCAAAACUCAGAACAGGUGAAGAACUAAUGUUGACGGAAGUUAAGCAACCUUUCCCAAAGUCUCAUAGUGAUGAGGUCUCCAAGGGACCAGAUGGAGAACAGAUGCAACCACACUGAAGUCAGAAUCGCAGCUUGCCUCCGACACCUGACGCUUCACUGUUGGCGAGGCCCACUAUGCCUCGCUCUCCCCCUGUAAUGAGUUCUAUCCCAGAGGCUCCUAUACCCUUUAGAAAUAAACUGCUCAGGCAGCCCAACCAGUUCAUCCAAGAGGCCUGGAACCACAGCAGCGUCGACAGCUGAGAUGAGAGUUGGUCCCUGAUCUGAUACAGAGCCUGGGUUUAGCUUUGAUUUCUCUCUUCCUAGGCAAGAUCUUUAGAGAAUAACUUUUUGUGCCUGGCCAUCUCCUGCUCUUUUCUCAACCCAAAAGGGCUAUGUUCACCUAAAGAGGAAAAGCAAGAAGGCUUCCUGGGCUCGGGAGGUCAGGGCUGGAAAGAACUGCUCACCAUUUCUGAGCCGAUGAGGACUCACCUGGGCUCCUCACUGGUCAGGGAACUGUGGCCCAGCCGCAGAGUGAUUGCUUUGUCAAGAAGGGAAACAUUUACCUUUCCUUCUUCCCUCUGCUCUCUCCUAAUUAACAAUUAAAUGGAAGGAGUUGAAAAGACAUGUCAGAGACUUCAAUCUCCUCCCGGCCUGAGGAUGAAGGGGGCUCGAACCUGAAUGUUCUCUUCGCUGUGGCCAGAACCUAGGGGGCUGGGGUUGCUGCCAGCUCGACUGGAGGCCUGCUUCCAGCCCCAGGCUGUGGUGAGGGGCCUCACAGAUUUCACAAACAGGAGGGCGGCUGACCAAGCGCCAAACUAUUUAGACAAACACACACCCUCCCUUCCCGCCAGAGUUUGGGCUGAUUUCUCCCAAUGCUAAUGAACAGCUCAUAAGUAUUAAUAGACUCCUUGGCACCUAGGAGUCAGGCAGAGUAACUUCCAGUGUGAAUUUUGGCCAAGGACCCUGAUGCAGCCUCAGGAUCUUCCAAGCCCCUGUUGAGUCCAGGGGGCAUGAGACACACAGGGAGGCUGGGGCUGCUCCCAGGAAGCAGGCUCACAAGAGCCAGACAGGCUCCCACAGACAGCUUUUAGGUCACAGAAACCUCUGCCUGCCAGGUAGGCAUGAACACAGAAACCCUCCCAAAUCCUCAGACUGUGGAGCACACUCCAGGUGAGCCAGGAUCAAUCCCUGGUCUCAGAGAACACUUAGAUGGGGGUGAAAAGCAGGAACUGAGAGCUUCCCACCCAGCACCUGUCCCUGCUACCAGCUAAACCUGUGUCGGUCAGUGCAGGAAUUGUACAGGUGAUGCUCUGAGCCUGUGCUGAGGCCAUGUAUGGACUGAGGAAACCUCACUGUGUGUAUGUAAAGUUAAUUCAAACCUAUUUCCCUGAGUGCUUACAUAUUUUCAUAAGGAAAGUUCUGUUAGGAGAGCUGCCUGAAACAACACCUCUGCCUGUGCUCCCACUUUCUCCCGCUGGUGUGGGGAGGAGAGGCUGACAUCGCUGGGUCCACGUUCCUCUGCCCUGGGUGGGGUAUUAAUGCUGCCAUUCCCACGCUGCCUGCUGUUUCCCCUCAUCCUCAGGAGGGCUGGUCUCUGUGCUGCAGGCAGCUCCACCAGGCCUGGGAGCAUGACACCGUCUGCCAAUGCCUUGCCCAGGUCCACUGGCCUCACCCUUCCGCAGGCCUGCGCCUUCUGUGACUCUCUGCCUCAGCAAUUUCUCUGGAUUUCUUUGUCCUCAGGAAUGUGCUGGGGCCACAGGCAGGUCAGGCCAGGCUUUCUGGGGAGUGAAUGCUCUCUGCCAGUGGCGGAUGGAACUGGUAGACACGUCCCCCGGAUUCCUCGCCUGCAAGUGGGAUGGUGCCAGGAAAGUUCUACACCAUCCUUCCCAGGUCCCAGGAGGACAAGCACAGUUGUCCACAAGGGAACCAAGAGGAUGUUGAAAAAUCCUGGUUGGAUCUGAACUUGGAAACAAAUUUGAGGAAUCUAUUUUACUUAAUCCUACUGAAAAAUUCCCUAAUGAGUUAAAGAAGAACAAAGUAAAAGAAGAUAAAAAAGCAGUUGGUACUUGAAAUGAAGAUCAAAUCAUCAAGUCCUAUAUGUCACCCACAGAUCUGAGAUCACUGACUCCCAGAGACACCCAGUUUCUCAGUGUCAGUACACACUGCCUGGGUUAGUAAGCACAGGCUGAGACCUGGGAGGAAUUGAUGAACCAAAUGUGUCUGGGCUUUUCACUUCCUCGGCAUGAGUCAGCCAAGAAAGCCCACCUCUCCUCCCCAGCAGCGUGCAGGGCCUCUGCAGAUAAAUGUGCAGGAUAGCAGACCUGGGUGUGGUGCUGCCUGGCACUGAGCCAGCCCCCAGAUUCUUUGGCUGCAGAGUGGCCUGGCCAACUCACACAGGUAGCGCCCUUUUAUUCUUGGAAAAGGAAGCACCAGGUGGAAAGGGAGGUUAAAGGAGGGAACACAACUUUUUUCCAGACCCCUCUGCCCAGGAUGUUAAAGGUUGCUGGAAAAUGCCUUUGGUGGCUUUAAAUGUCACAGAUGACAUAUUCCAGGAUGGAUCCAGCCUCCACUGGACUUGGCCCCUCUAUUUUGAUUCCUGCCUUUCCCCAGCCUCAGCCCUGAGCGGCAUAAUAUCUACACGGGGUUAGCUGCAGGUGGAACUCAGAACACAGCUCCUAGACAAGUAGAGUGAGGCCUAUGGCUUCAUCAUCAAAAUGUAAAAUUUAAAUAUAUAAAUGAAUAAAGGCUAGAUAGACACAUAAAUAUACAUACACACAUACAUUUUGUCUGGUGCCAGGACCAAGGCCUUAUUACAGCUCAGAGCUCCACUUUGAGCACUUGAGGGCAGGAGGGGCUCCGAGCUUCUCUCCCCUCAAUGCUGCCGCAGGGUUCCUAAGCAAGGACCCACAUGUGGAGGCUCCUGAUCCCUGAACUGAAAGUCGACUCUCCAGUGCAACAGGUAAACUUGUUUGAGAACGUGGGACAUAACGACGUCUAAACUAUUGCUUCUUGGCAGCAUUGGAUGAUUAGGUCCUCGCUAAGGCUUGCCAAGGCCUGUCCUAGGAAAUGUUCCUGGGCUUGAUUUCAUCCUCACUGUUGAGAGAGUUUAUUCCUUAUAAGGUCCAUCUCAAUUCUCAGGGCACCGCAAGACAACGUAUCUCCCCUCUCCUGUGCAAUCAGUCAAAGAACAUUUAGUCAACCUGAACUGGGAGCACAGCGCUCCUGGGGCUGUUGGGCAUUCAAAAGAGGUAAGAUGUUGUGAAUCUACCAGGCAUCUGCACCCUUGUUGGGGAACCAAUCCAUAUACAGCAGCAACUGUUAAGUGGUGGCACCUGCUGGCUGUAGCACUUAAUAGGUAGGUGUGCAUGGAGUCAGACUGCCAGGUACACAGACCAGCUCUACCACUCACAGUAGUUGUGAUCUUGGGCAAAACACAAAACCUCCCUGAGCCUCUCAGUUUCUCACCCACUAGUACCACCUCACUAAGCAUGUUAGGAGGAGUCAAUGUGAUAGCCUAUGCAAAGUGCCUGGAAUAGUGCCUGGCACACAAGAGGUAUUCAAUACCUGCCAGCUGUUGUUGUUUUUCUGCAAAUGAAGUGUAAACCCCUUGAGGACAGAGAUGAGUGUCCAUAGCUGUUAUCUGCCACAGAGCCUUCCUUCCACAUAACAUAUGCUCGAGGGUUUGCUGACCUACUUUGAAGAAAGGGGCAACACGAGGGGAAUAUAGUUUUAUUGUGUAGGGUAAUUUCCUCCAGGAAAGAAAAAAACAGUGAAUCUGUGAAACUUGGUACAGAUUGUUAAAAAAAAACUCACUUUGUAAAAUAAAAGUAUUUUCAACUGCAAGUAUCCCUAUUUUUAAAUA
rnacentral:lncRNA from 1 species